CCUACGGGCGGCAGCAGUGGGGAAUAUUGCACAAUGGGCGCAAGCCUGAUGCAGCCAUGCCGCGUGUGUGAAGAAGGCCUUCGGGUUGUAAAGCACUUUCAGCGGGGAGGAAGGCGUUAAGGUUAAUAACCUUGUCGAUUGACGUUACCCGCAGAAGAAGCACCGGCUAACUCCGUGCCAGCAGCCGCGGUAAUACGGAGGGUGCAAGCGUUAAUCGGAAUUACUGGGCGUAAAGCGCACGCAGGCGGUCUGUCAAGUCGGAUGUGAAAUCCCCGGGCUCAACCUGGGAACUGCAUUCGAAACUGGCAGGCUAGAGUCUUGUAGAGGGGGGUAGAAUUCCAGGUGUAGCGGUGAAAUGCGUAGAGAGCUGGAGGAAUACCGGUGGCGAAGGCGGCCCCCUGGACAAAGACUGACGCUCAGGUGCGAAAGCGUGGGGAGCAAACAGGAUUAGAUACCCGAGUAGUC
rnacentral:rRNA from 1 species